rnacentral:rRNA from 1 species
GAUGAACGCUGGCGGCGUGCCUAACACAUGCAAGUCGAACGGGGAUCUAGAGGAAAAGGUACUUGUACCUCGGAAUUUAGAUUCUAGUGGCGGACGGGUGAGUAACACGUGAGCAACCUGCCUUGAUCAGGGGGAUAACAACGGGAAACCGUUGCUAAUACCGCAUAAUAUGCCGUUGGGGCAUCCCAGUGGCAUCAAAGGAGUAAUCCGGAUUGAGAUGGGCUCGCGUCCGAUUAGUUAGUUGGUGAGGUAACGGCUCACCAAGACCGCGAUCGGUAGCCGGACUGAGAGGUUGACCGGCCACAUUGGGACUGAGACACGGCCCAGACUCCUACGGGAGGCAGCAGUGGGGAAUAUUGGGCAAUGGGGGAAACCCUGACCCAGCGACGCCGCGUGAAGGAUGAAGGCCUUCGGGUUGUAAACUUCUUUGAUCGGGGACGAUAAUGACGGUACCCGAGGAACAAGCCACGGCUAACUACGUGCCAGCAGCCGCAGUAA